GGUCAGAGUUACAGUGUUGAACUUACUAAAAUUGCAAGUACCACAAAUUUGAAUAAAAAAUAAAUACAAUUUUCAUUUUCAGGACAGGUCAUCAUUCAAUAGAAACUCUGCACAUGGAUUGUGUGAUUUGCUGAAUAAUAUCCACACGUAAGGCAUUUAACACAGGGAUCCUAAUCAAAGUGAGCUAUUCCUUUUUAUUGAAG